AAUGGCUAAACCUUCAAAGGUUAUUCACGUUCGAAAUGUUGGACCUGAGAUAGCUGAAAAGGAUUUGCUCCAGUUAUUUCAGCCUUUUGGAGUCAUAACAAGCUUAUGAUGCUGCCUCCCAAAAAUCAGCCACUUCUUCAAAUGCAAGAUGUUCCUUCCGCUGUUAGUGUUAUACAGUUUUUCACAAAUGUCCAACC